rnacentral:lncRNA from 1 species
GGUCCGAGACCCAAAUUAUUUCGUAGUGCAUUUCUUUUUAGACAAUAAAUGAAAAUUAAAAAAAUUCCACCAGCGCUUUCUCAAUAAAAUUUUUACAGUGUGUUGAACUACUUUUGGGACAAAUUAUAUCAAAAUUAUCGAAAACUUCAUCGGCUCUAACUCAUAAUAUGGACAAUUUUAUGUUAAGGGGGUCUUGAAAUCUUU